UGAAUACGAGACGCUAAGGCGUUGAAGUAGUGUAUGUCAUACUUCCAAGAAAAGCUUGCACUGUCAUAGAUAAAAAACGCCUGUACCAUAACCGACACAGGUGGGUAGGUAGAGUAUACUAAGGGGCGCGAGAUAACUCUCUCUAAGGAACUCGGCAAAAUAACUCCGUAACUUCGGGAGAAGGAGUGCCUUAUUUAUAAGGCUGCAAUAACAAGAUCCAAGCAACUGUUUAUCAAAAACACAGGUCUCCGCUAAGUCGUAAGACGAUGUAUGGGGGCUGACGCCUGCCCAGUGCCAGAAGGUUAAAGAAGUUGGUUAGCAAUAGCGAAGCUGAUAACUGAAGCCCUGGUGAACGGCGGCCGUAACUAUAACGGUCCUAAGGUAGCGAAAUUCCUUGUCGGGUAAGUUCCGACCCGCACGAAAGGCGUAAUGAUUUGGAUACUGUCUCGGAGAGGGGCUCGGUGAAAUAGACUUGUCUGUGAAGAUGCGGACUACCUGCACCAGGACAGAAAGACCCUAUGAAGCUUUACUGUAACUUGAAAUUGAAAUUGGACUUUAUUCGCGCAGUAUAGGUGGGAGGGUUGAUUGUAAUCUUGCGGGAUUAUUGGAGCCAUCAGUGAGAUACCACCCUUGUAAUGUUAGAUUUCUAACUUUGAAUCAUUAUCUGGUCAAAGAACAGUUUCAGGCGGGCAGUUUGACUGGGGCGGUCGCCUCCUAAACGGUAACGGAGGCGUACAAAGGUUUCCUCUGAACGGUUAGAAAUCGUAUCUAGAGUGUAAAGGCAUAAGGAAGCUUGACUGUGAGACCUACAAGUCGAGCAGGGACGAAAGUCGGUCUUAGUGAUCUGACGGUACUGAGUGGAAAGGCCGUCACUCAACGGAUAAAAGUUACUCUAGGAUAACAGGCUGAUCUCCCCCAAGAGUUCACAUCGACGGGGAGGUUUGGCACCUCGAUGUCGGCUCAUCGCAUCCUGGGGCGGUAGUACGUCCCAAGGGUUGGGCUGUUCGCCCAUGAAAGCGGUACGCGAGCUGGGUUCAGAACGUCGUGAGACAGUUCGGUCCAUAUCCGGUGUAGGCGUUAGAAUAUUGAGAGGAGCCUUCUUUAGUACGAGAGGACCGAGAAGGACAUACCUCUGGUGUACCAGUUAUCGUGCCAACGGUAAACGCUGGGUAGCUAUGUAUGGAGUGGAUAACCGCUGAAAGCAUCUAAGUGGGAAGCCCACCUCAAGAUAAGUAUUCUCAUC
rnacentral:rRNA from 1 species